UACAGAGGUCUCAAGCGUUGUUCGGAUUCAUUGGGCGUAAAGGGUGCGUAGGUGGCGGGGUAAGUCAGGUGUGAAAUCUCGGAGCUCAACUCCGAAACUGCACUUGAUACUGCCUUGCUUGAGUACUGGAGAGGAGAUUGGAAUUUACGGUGUAGCAGUGAAAUGCGUAGAUAUCGUAAGGAAGACCAGUGGCGAAGGCGAAUCUCUGGACAGUUACCGACACUGAGGCACGAAGGCCAGGGGAGCAAACGGG
rnacentral:rRNA from 1 species